AGGAGCCUGAAGGACAAAGGCUUGUGACUGAGGAGCUGCAAUCUCACCUGGGAACUGAGGCUGUACAGGAAUUCAUGCAGGAUAUGAUACUAUAUGAGAUUGUACCUGCUGCACAUUCCCUGCUAAAAUCAGAAGGCCAAGAAGACAGGAAAGGGCUUGAAAAAGAAGUCCUGGAGUCUGAGAAUGACCGCCUGUCCUGGAUUAUGGAAGAAGAUGAAGAUGAGUCUGAAUUACAGAUGUCGUGUUAUCAC